CCCAGCAGUUUAACCGAUUUUGAUGAAAUUUGGUAUAGAGGUAGAUUGCGUCCUGAAAACUGACAUAGACAACUUUUUACCUCGAAAUAUCAAAGAGUUCCUACGGGAUUUU